GACGAACGCUGGCGGCGUGCCUAACACAUGCAAGUCGAACGAAGAAUUGAGAGCUUGCUUUUAAUUCUUAGUGGCGGACGGGUGAGUAACGCGUGAGAAACCUGCCUUUCAGAGGGGGAUAACGUUUGGAAACGAACGCUAAUACCGCAUAAUGCAGCGAGGUCGCAUGGCUUUGUUGCCAAAGGAGCAAUCCGCUGAAAGAUGGUCUCGCGUCCGAUUAGCUAGUUGGUGAGAUAACAGCCCACCAAGGCGACGAUCGGUAGCCGGACUGAGAGGUCGAACGGCCACAUUGGGACUGAGACACGGCCCAGACUCCUACGGGAGGCAGCAGUGGGGGAUAUUGCACAAUGGAGGAAACUCUGAUGCAGCAACGCCGCGUGAGGGAAGAAGGUCUUCGGAUUGUAAACUUUUGUCGACAGGGAAGAAAAAAUGACAGUACCUGUGGAGGAAGCCCCGGCUAACUACGUG
rnacentral:rRNA from 1 species